UACGUAGGGUGCAAGCGUUAAUCGGAAUUACUGGGCGUAAAGCGUGCGCAGGCGGUUUGGUAAGACAGAUGUGAAAUCCCUGGGCUCAACCUAGGAAUUGCAUUUGUGACUGCCCGGCUAGAGUGUGUCAGAGGGGGGUAGAAUUCCGACGUGUAGCAGUGAAAUGCGUAGAGAUGUGGAGGAAUACCGAUGGCGAAGGCAGCCCCCUGGGAUAACACUGACGCUCAUGCACGAAAGCGUGGGGAGCAAACAGG
rnacentral:rRNA from 1 species